rnacentral:lncRNA from 1 species
GCAGCACUUGAGGGAGGAAAAACUAGAAGUUCUGUUUUGGACAGGUUGAGUUUAAGGAAGUGAGCAGCCAUCCAGUUGGAAAUAGCAGAGAGGCAGUCAGAAACACGAGUCAAGGUGGGCGGAGAGAGAUCAGGGGAGGACAGGUAGAUUUGCGUGUCAUCUGCAUAUAAAUGGUAUUGGACGCCAAAAGAGCUGAUGAGUUUACCAAGGGAGGCAGUAUAGAUAGAGAACAGUAGGGGGCCGAGGACAGAACCUUGGGGGAUGCCGACAGGGAG